AAGUCGUAACAAGGUUUCCGUAGGUGAACCUGCGGAAGGAUCAAUACGAAGAGGUUGAGUGGAGGGGAGAGAUAAGUGGAAAAACAUGAGAAGCAUAUGACAAUCUACACACACAACACACACACACACAACUCAUAACAAUGGAUCUCUGGGCUCUU
rnacentral:misc_RNA from 1 species